rnacentral:rRNA from 1 species
GGAAGAUAUCUAGGGCGCACGGCGGAUGCCUUGGCACAUGGAGCCGAUGAAGGACGCGGCAAGCUGCGAUAAUCCGCGGUUAGGGGCACACACCCUUCGACCCGCGGGUCUCCGAAUGGGCGAACCCGCCAGGAGAAGUCCUGGCAUCCCCCGACUGAACACAUAGGUCGGGGGAGGACAACCCGGGGAACUGAAACAUCUAAGUACCCGGAGGAGAAGAAAUCAACCUCGAGAUUCCCCGAGUAGCGGCGAGCGAAAGGGGACCUAGGCCAAACCGUGGAGCGGGCGGGCGCCAGCCCUUACCGCCCACGGGGUUGUAGGGCCUCCCGCCCGGGAGCUGGCGCUCCCGGCGGGCAUCCAUCCAGGGGAGCCGAACGGCAUGGGAAGGCCGGCGGCACAGGGUUAGGGCCCCGUAGGCGCACCCUGGGAUGGAGCCCGGUGGAGGUACCUGAGUAGGGCCGGGCACGUGAAACCCGGUCCGAACCCGGGGGGACCACCCUCCAAGCCUGAAUACUCCCAUGUGACCGAUAGCGCACCAGUACCGUGAGGGAAAGGUGAAAAGCACCCCGGGAGGGGAGUGAAACAGUACCUGAAACCGUGCGCCCGCAAGGCGUCGGAGCGGGCUUCGUCCCGUGACGGCGUGCCUUUUGUAGAAUGAGCCAGCGAGUUGCUGGCACGCGGCGAGGUUAAGCUGGGAAGCGAGCCGGAGCGAAAGCGAGUCCGAAACGGGCGAUUCCAGUCGCGUGCCGCAGACGCGAAGCCGGGUGAGCUAUCCCUGGGCAGGCUGAAGCGGGGGUAAGACCCCGUGGAGGGCCGAACGGACGUACGUUGAAAAGUGCGCCGAUGACCUGGGGAUAGGGGUGAAAGGCCUAUCAAACCCGGAGAUAUCUCGUUCUCCCCGAAAUAGCUUUAGGGCUAGCGUCGAGAGUUAACCGCCGGAGGUAGAGCACCGGAUCGAUGAGGGGGCUUCGCCGCCUACCGAUUCGAACCGAACUCCGAAUGCCGGUCGGUCCAUAUCUCGGCAGUCAGAGCAUGUGGGCUAAGCUGUGUGCUCGAGAGGGAAACAGCCCAGACCGCCCGCUAAGGCCCCCAAUUCUCAGUUAAGUGGCAAAGGAUGUGCGUCCGCGCAGACAACCAGGAGGUUGGCUUAGAAGCAGCCACCCCUUCAAAGAGUGCGUAACAGCUCACUGGUCGAGUGGACAUGCGCCGACAAUACACGGGGCUAAACUGAGAGCCGAAGCGGCGGCAAUGAGAUUUCAUUGGGUAGGGGAGCGUCCCCAGCGGGGCGAAGCCGGAGGGUCACCGACGGUGGACUGCUGGGGAGUGAGAAUGCUGGCAUGAGUAGCGAGAGACGAGAGAGUAACUCGUCCGCCGUAAACCCGAGGUUUCCUGGGCGAGGCUAAUCCUCCCAGGGUCAGUCGGGGGCUAAGCCGAGGGCGGAAGCCGUAGGCGACGCGCAGCAGGUGGACAUUCCUGCACCGGAGAUGCACCGUCACGACCGACGGGGCGACGGAUUGGGGUGGCUCGGCGGGGUUCUGGACGUCCCCGUGAUGGAGCGCGGCCCGGAGACCAGGCAAAUCCGGUCUCCACGAGGGCGAGGCUCCGGACGAAGCGCUUGAGCGAAGCGAGUGAGCCCGUGGUCCCCAGAAAAACCCCUAGGCAGGGGCAUCUCCGCCCGUACCGCAAACCGACACAGGUGGGUGGGUAGAACAUACCGAGGCGAUCGGGUCAACCAUGGUCAAGGAACUCGGCAAAAUGGCCCCGUAACUUCGGGAGAAGGGGCGCCGGCGCGUACGUGGAGGGACUAGCUCCCCGAGCGGAGGCCGGCCGCAGUGAAGAGGCCCAAUCGACUGUUUACCAAAAACACAGGACUCUGCAGAAGGCGAGAGCCGACGUAUAGGGUCUGACGCCUGCCCGGUGCCGGAAGGUCACGCGGAGGGGUCAGCGCGAGCGAAGCCCCGAAGCCAAGCCCCGGUAAACGGCGGCCGUAACUAUAACGGUCCUAAGGUAGCGAAAUUCCUUGUCGGG